rnacentral:rRNA from 1 species
CGGGACGGGGUGGAGUAAUGUCUGGGAAGCUGCCUGAUGGAGGGGGGUAACUACUGGAAACGGUAGCUAAUACCGCAUAACGUCGCAAGACCAAAGAGGGGGACCUUCGGGCCUCUUGCCAUCGGAUGUGCCCAGAUGGGAUUAGCUAGUAGGUGGGGUAAAGGCUCACCUAGGCGACGAUCCCUAGCUGGUCUGAGAGGAUGACCAGCCACACUGGAACUGAGACACGGUCCAG